rnacentral:rRNA from 1 species
GUGGGGAAUCUUCCACAAUGGACGAAAGUCUGACGGAGCAACGCCGCGUGAGUGAAGAAGGUUUUCGGAUCGUAAAGCUCUUUCGUUAGGGACGAACGUGCUCUUUGUGAAUAAUGAGGAGUAAUGACGGUACCUAAAUAAGAAGCCACGGCUAACUACGUGCCAGCAGCCGCGGUAAUACGUAGGUGGCAAGCGUUGUCCGGAAUUAUUGGGCGUAAAGCGCGCGCAGGCGGGAUAUCAAGUCUGUCUUAAAAGUGCGAGGCUCAACCUCGUGAGGGGACAGAAACUGGUAUUCUUGAGUGUCGGAGAGGAAAGUGGAAUUCCAAGUGUAGCGGUGAAAUGCGUAGAGAUUUGGAAGAACACCAGUGGCGAAGGCGACUUUCUGGACGAUGUCUGACGCUGAGGCGCGAAAGCUAGGGGAGCGAACGGGAUUAGAAACCCUGGUAGUCC